rnacentral:lncRNA from 13 species
CUUUGAUCCUGCCCUGUGAUGGGUUUUCAGGGCCUGGACCUGGACAAACUGCUACUGUAUGGCACAGACCAGCCCAGACAGUUCUGAGAAAGAGAAGCUCUCAAAUGCUCCUCUUAACUAUGAAAGUAUGGUGUAGAUCACACUGACUGUGCCCACUGUAAUAUCAAUCUAUCUCCUUUCUCUUCCUCUUCUCUCUCUCUCUCCCUCUUCCUUUCUCUCCUCUCUCUUUCUGACUUUGUCUCUCUCUCGCUCUCUUUCUCUUCUCUCUCUCACUUUCUCUCUCUCUCUCCCUCUCUCUGUGUCUCUCUCUCCCUUUUCUCACUUCCCUCUCUCUCUCUAUUUUCUCUCACUCUUCUCCUUUUUCUCUUCCUCAACAGGAUCAUUGACCAUCUGGAUGGAGUGCGCCUGCUUUGGUCCUUCUUGAAAAACCCAAAUCCAGAUGUCCAGGCCAGUGGUGCAUGGGAUAUUUGUCCAUGCAUUGAAAAUGCAAAUACUGAUGAUAAGCUGUGUCGUUACCUGGCUGAGGCAGUCGCCCGCUGCUGCAUGUGCGGCAGUAACAGGGUAUCGUUUGGGGAGGCCGUCCCCCCCUGAAGUCCAAGGACUCCUCGGUCCACCAGACCGCAGCUCAGACCCUGUUCCAGAACCCCAGCAACUACAUCACCAUGCACGAGAACAGAGUGGUGAAGGUAUGUUCACUUCUUUGCUCACAAGCACUUGUCCUUUCCACACCUAGUGGUCAAGGUACUGAUUGGUAAUCGAUUCCAGGCUGUGUCGCAGCCGGCCGCAACCCGGGAGACCUAUGAGGCAACGCACGAUUGGCUCAGCGUCGUCCGAGUUAGGGGAGGGCUUGGCUGGUUGGGAUGUCCUUGUCCCAUCACGCUGUAGCGCCUCCUGUGGCGGGCCUGGUGCAUGCACGCUGACAUGGUUGCCAGUUGUACUGUUUCCUAAGACACAUUGGUGCGGCUGGCUUCCGGGUUAAACAUGCAGUGAGUCAAGAAGCAGAGCGACUGUGCAGGGUCGUGUUUCGGAGGACGCAUGGCUCUCGACCUUCGUCUCUCCCGAGUCCAUAUGGGAGUUGCAGCGAGGUGACAAGACUGCAACUGCCAAUUGGAUAUCACAAAAUUGGUGAGAAAAAAAGGUAAAAAGUAAAAAAUACAUAUAUUUUCAUUAAUAUCUUUGCUCAAGAUGAUUUCCUCCGAGCAUUCUCCUCACACCUUCAUAAACUUUCUUUAAAUGUGUAUUUAUACAGUACCAGUCAAAGGUUUGGACAAACCUACUCAUUCAAGGGUUUUUCUUUAUGUUUUACUAUUUUAUACAUUGUAUAAUAACAGUGAAGACAUCAAAACUAU